rfam:Triticum aestivum genome assembly, contig: Triticum_aestivum_CS42_TGACv1_scaffold_220888_3B
AAAAUACUCCUUGCGUCCCAAAAUUCUUGUCUUAGAUUUUCCUAGAUACAGAUGUAUCUUAUAUUAAAAUGUGACUUGAUACAUCCGUAUUUAGACAAAACUAAGACAAGAAUUCUGGGACGGAGGGAGUAGCAG